GGUGAAGCUCUCUUUGUUUAAACUUUGAUAUGAAUUUUCUACCGAGUAGUAUCGGUAGUGAUCUCUGUUUGCAUCGACUUAGGUAAGUCCUUUUCUAUGAACGCAACAUUUUUUGUUUUGUCAGACGAGAGUUUAUUGAUCAUUUAAAGAACCUAAGUAAAUGGGCUGUGGUGAUCAUUCAAUGCACAAUUCAAAGUGGAUUGGCAUGAUAUUGACAAGACAUAAAGAGAACACCUGUAAACCACCAAGAUGGUUCGAGUCUUGUGUAAUAUGGCUGCCUGCACAGCUACUCAACUGGUUUAUAUAGUUGGCAAAGAAUCUGAUAAGGAUUAUAAGGUAUUCUCGGAUUGGUUUGGCAUGGGAGAGUAGGCCAGGGAGGCUCUAAAACUCAUUCACAUGAAUAACUUCGACUUUAUUUCUGUUUCGUUUGUUCUUGAUUUCUAUCUGUAUCCGUCAGAUUUAAAGAGAGUUAUAAGGGAAAUCAAUUCUGAAACUGAUCAAACUCUAGUUUUAUGUAUGUUUAGAAGCUGUAUGUGUCUCUUUAUGUUCUGUUCUUUUUGGAUCACUCUCAAUCACAUUUUGUUUCCUUUCUCUUUUUUUGAGAACCAUUAGAUGGCUCGAUCCGUAUCAUUGCAUUGUUAUUGUUUUGGCUUUGGCAGUUAACUCAAAGAGCAGAGUAUACAUAUUUGGAAAUUUUUUACCUGCCUUUUUUUAAUCUAUCUUAUUAUUUUUUCAACCACUUUUUUGACCACCUAUGGUUUAAAAUUUUUGACUACAAAUGCCCUUAUUCUUAACUAAAUACUCUAUUAUCAUUAAGGUUAAAUGGGACAACUAUUUUAGCGGGUCGGUUUUAAAUCUUUUAAUUACAACCCAAUUGGAGAUUCUGGAUCUAACAUUUAAUACAAUAAUAAGAUAUAUACUAGCUUCGAAUAUUACAGCGAUAAUAAUCUUUUUUUCUAUGACUACAAUUAAAAAAAAUAGGACCUUCUCAAGUUGCGACGCCGAUGGUGGAGUGUAGAAAGGUUGAGAGGGACGGUGAUGGUUUCUCUAUUUAUUGUAAGAGAGGUCGAAGAGCAGCUAUGGAGUAUCGUUACUCCGCUAUCACUAAUCUUCAUGGAGAUCACAAACAGGCGAUAUUUGGAGUCUAUGAUGGUCAUGGAGGAGUUAAAGCAGCUGAGUUGCAGCUAAGAACUUAGAUAAGAACGUUGUAGAAGAAUUAGGUGGUAAGAGGAGUCUGAGAUAGCUGAUGCGGUGAAACGUGGUUACCUUAUGACUGAAGCAACGUUUCUAAAGGAGAUAGACGUUAAGGGUGGUUCUUGCUGUGUAACGGCUCUGGUUAGGGAAGGGAACCUUGUGGUGACUGUCGAGCUGUUAUGAGUGUUAGAGGUAUGACUAAGGCGCUUACUUCUGACCACCGUCCGUCUAGAGACGGUGGAAGGAAGAGAAACAAACUACGCGUGAAUAUGUUGAUACGUUUCACGGUGUUUGGAGGAUCCUGGGAUCUCUAGCUGUGUCAAAAGGAAUCGGAGAUGCUCAGCUUAAGAAACGGUUUAUAGCCGAAGCAGAUACGAAGAUUUCGAGGAUAAGUCGUGGAUCCGUGGUGUGCCGCGAUGGCGUAAGAAGUCAAAAGAACGUCUGUGUGGAUUGAAUCACCGUUGUAAUAAACAUGACUAAUCAUUUCCAUGACCGGUCCGAUGCAGAAAAGAUCGUAUGCGUCGGUGAAAAGACCCAUUCCUGCGACUAUGAUCGUUUUGAAAUGGUACCAUUGUAUUCGUGCUGCGUCAAGCGACGACAAUAUCUUUAUUGCCAUCGUUGCUUUCUUCUCCACCACUCUCUGUGAUUCUGAAUCCAGAGCUUUACUCUUUUCUUUUGUUUCUUUUGGUUUUGUUUUAUCAAGAUUUGGUAGGAAGACUUGGUCAGUUUGUUAAAAUGAGAUCCUUUUCUAUUAAUGUUGUCACGAUAGGCACACAACAGCAUACUGUUUGAAUUCUUCUUAGUGGUAUUCUAUUAUGUGUAUUUUUUUGUCA